rnacentral:tRNA from 1 species
GGACCUGUGGCCCAAUGGAUAAGGCGCUGGUCUACAGAACCAGAGAUUCUGAGUUCAAUCCCCAGAAGAGUCG